rnacentral:rRNA from 1 species
CGGGGGACAGUGGCGAACGGGUGAGUAACACGUAAGUAACCUGCCCGGAAGUGGGGAAUAACCCGCCGAAAGGCGAGCUAAUACCGCAUGUGCUGGUCUUUCCCUGGAGGGACCAGCAAAGGCUUUAGGUCGCUUCCGGAGGGGCUUGCGGCCGAUUAGCUAGUUGGUGGGGUAAUAGCCUACCAAGGCGACGAUCGGUAGCUGGUCUGAGAGGACGGUCAGCCACACGGGGACUGAGAUACGGCCCCGACUCCUACGGGAGGCAGCAGCUAGGAAUCUUGGGAAUGCGCGCAAGCGUGACCCAGCAACGCCGCGUGGGCGAUGAAGGCCUUCGGGUUGUAAAGCCCUUUUGCGAGGGAAGAUUAUGACGGUACGUCGCGAAUAAGCCACGGCUA